rnacentral:lncRNA from 1 species
ACAUUUUUGAACACAGGCUCCCACCUUCAACUUAUCACUUCCUUACCUUUGCUGGGGUACCUGAUGACUUUAAAGAGACUGUUUCUUUGGAGAAGGUGGAAUACGCUUAAAGAUUGGUCUUGCCUUUAAAACACCAUUUUAAAAGAGACCAUUUGUUAGUGCCUGAAAUCUGUAACUGGCUUAAAAGCUCUGUCAGCUGGAAAGGAACCUGUCAGUGUGAUAAUGGAAAAGAAGAAGAUACAUCAGAGAGAGGAUUUGCAAGUUAGAAAGCAUCAUUUUCGACUGGCCCUUCUCUGUUCUCCCACCAGCUCUUCUGAGGAUUAAAGGAGGUAACUUAAGAAGAAGAGUUAAUGAGAAAAUGUCCAGUCUGAAGGAAAAAAGUGUAAGAAAUGAUUCCCAAAUGUGAACACAUAGAAACCAUAUGAUAGUUCUUCUUAAAUAGUAGAAAGUACUUUUCUAAAAUGUUA